rnacentral:misc_RNA from 1 species
CCUUCUCAAACCUUUGGUUUGGUAGUGAGUGAUACUCGGUCGUAAGACAAGGUUAACUUGAAAAUGCUGGCCAUGGGCGGAGCUUGCGCGGACUGCGGUCUUAGCUAGCUUUUACACUGCGUAUUAGGUUUCGACCGGAUCGUGGAGUGGAAGUUGGCGUUUGAGGAACGUAUGGACAAACAAGACCUCUCAGGCGAAUAGUAUUCCUAAA